CCAGACUCCUACGGGAGGCAGCAGUGGGGGAUAUUGCACAAUGGGGGGAACCCUGAUGCAGCGACGCCGCGUGGGUGAAGGAGUGCUUCGGCAUGUAAAGCCCUAUCGGCAGGGAAGAAGCAAGACGGUACCUGACUAAGAAGCCCCGGCUAACUACGUGCCAGCAGCCGCGGUAAUACGUAGGGGGCGAGCGUUAUCCGGAUUCACUGGGUGUAAAGGGAGAGUAGACGGCCAAGCAAGCCAGGGGUGAAAGCCCGGGGCCCAACCCCGGGACUGCCCUUGGAACUGCACGGCUGGAGUGCGGGAGGGGCAGGCGGAAUUCCUGGUGUAGCGGUGAAAUGCGUAGAUAUCAGGAGGAACACCGGCGGCGAAGGCGGCCUGCUGGACGACAACUGACGGUGAGGCGCGAAAGCGUGGGGAGCAAACAGGAUUAGAUACCCUAGUAGA
rnacentral:rRNA from 1 species